rnacentral:lncRNA from 10 species
UUUUAUUUAACACUUUAUUAGUCCAGUGGAUCAUUUUUCUAUAUUUAGGCACACGGUAUGACAACUUGCCUGCGUCCUACGAAAGUUAAGGUGUGCUUAGUACUAUGGAUUGGGUCAUUUCUCCCAGAAGUGGGCAAGAGUUUCCAGAAUGUUUAGGUCCUGGAUCAACCACUUCUUACUCUAGCUGGUAGUUCUGCCACUGAUAGAGAGAGAGGAAGGUGUGAAUCCACACUGGUUAGCUUAAAUCAUGGUGCUUGCUGCCUUUUCUGUAGCUCUGGAAUUCCCAUCUGUAUACAUGGAACCUCUUGAGUGUGCAGCGUAAGGCAAACAUUUGGCAUAGGCAGAGGCCCAGACAGGGAGACCACGCUGGGACCACGCCUCCUAUCCAACAGUGUCCCCACAUGGAUUGCAAGGGUGAAUGUGAAGUCCUGGGUGAGAAGGAAGAGCAAAGCAUGUCACUUGGGCAGGAUCGUCCUUCAGGGUGGCUGACCCAACACCUUCCAGAAGGCUGAAGUCUUGGGUUGUAACUGGCUCCGGGAUGCUCCAAGCCUGAGGCACCCUGUGGCUUGGCAGAAAGAGAUGUGGCAGAGGAAGACUGGUGGCCUGCACCUCAUCUGCGUGGUGGAGCUUGACCUCCCUGUCUAUGUCGUAUGCUUUUCUCUCCCAGCACUGAAGGAAGGAUGGAAAA